rnacentral:rRNA from 1 species
ACUGAACGCUGGCGGAAUGCUCUACACAUGCAAGUCGAACGGCAGCACUGGGCAACCUGGUGGCGAGUGCCGAACGUGCGAGUAAUACAUCGCAACGUGCCCAUGUCGUGGCGGCGAACGUAGCGAAAGCCACGGUAAUUCCGCAUACGAACUUCGGAAGACAUGGGCGGAUCGCAACACCUACCGCCACUGCAGCGCGCGAUGGCAGAUUAGGUAGUUGGUGGGGUAAAGGCCUACCAAGCCGACGAUCUGUAGCUGGUCUGAGAGGACGACCAGCCACACUGGGACUGAGACACGGCCCAGACUCCUACGGGAGGCAGCAGUGGGGAAUUUUGGACAAUGGGCGCAAGCCUGAUCCAGCCAUUCCGCGUGCAGGAUGAAGGCCUUCGGGUUGUAAACUGCUUUUGUACGGAACGAAACGGUCCUGGUUAAUACCCGGGGCUAAUGACGGUACCGUAAGAAUAAGCACCGGCUAACUACGUGCCAGCCGCCGCAGUAACAC